ACUGGUUGGAACGAGAAUUAUUAUUAUUUAAAAAAAAACCAAUCACCUGAAUGGAUCCACCGAGGUGGUUCGAUCGUACGACGUAAGCACCUCAAGCGUGCACUCAACCGACUGAGCUAAACCGCACCCCUAAAGGUAUAGAGUUUCUUCUACAGACUACGUGUCAGAAUGAUAAAAUAGCUGACGAUUCAUUAAUCAGUGUACUCGGAACAAAAACAGAAAUGAGAAUAUAUUAAUUUAGUUUUCCAGGCUUAUGUCAGAACCCCUCCCUGUUAAAGCAGAUUUUCGUUUUUCUCAAUAUAUUUCCCAGGGCAGAAUGACUUGAUCCCCCUAUAGACUUUAGUCGCCACUGUCUAGACACCUCCCCCUAUAAACUUCAGUCGCUACUGUCUAGACACCUCAACCUAUAAACUUCACUGGCGACUGUCUAGACACCUCAACCUAUAAACUUCACUGGCGACUGUCUAGACACCUCAACCUAUAAGCUUCACUGGCGACUGUCUAGACACCUCCCCCUAUAAACCAGUCGCCACUGUCUAGACAGCUCCCCCACCUAUAAACUUCAGUCGCCACUGUUUAGACACCCCUACCUAUAAACGUCAGUUGCCACAGUCUUAAACACCUCCCCACCUAUAAACUUCAGUGGCCACUGUCUAGACACAUCCUCCCCCUAUAAACUUCAGUCUCUACUGUCUAGACAGCUCUCCCACCUAUAAACUUCAGUCAUCAUUGUAUAGACACUUCCCCCACCUAUAAACUUCAGUCGCUACUGUCUAGACAGCUCUCCCACCUAUAAACUUCAGUCUACUGUCUAGACAGCUCCCCCACCUAUAAACUUCAGUUGUCACUGUAUAGACACCUCCCCCACCCAGCCAAAAUUCUUGCACAUUUGUCUGUUUUAUUUAUUUUAAAUGAUUGUUUGAAUCCCUGGAACGUUUGUGUGAACAUAUUGGGCUCAUCUGCACAGUAUUUGCCCAAAUAAUUUUAUCAUGAAAAAUAAUGCAGUAAAAUCUUCGCUUUUCUUGUUCACUACAUUAUUUUAUCCAUUAAAGUGCUAUGUUUGUCGAAAAAAUCAUAACAAAGCAACUAAACAAUAUUAUCAUUAAUUUUGUUUUCUUCCCUAUAAGAUUUUAUCCAUUAAAACAGGGGCGGGAUGUAGUCCAGUGGUAAAGUGCAUGCCUGAUGCGCGGUUGGUCUAGGAUCGAUCCCCGUCGGUGGACUUAUUGAGCUGUUUUUCGUUCCAGCCAAUGCACCACGACUGGUAUAUCAAAGGUUUUGGUAUGUGCUGUCUUGUCAAAAAUGAUCAUGUUUUACAUCCAGUAGCCAAUUAAUAAAUCAAUGUGCUCUAGUGGUGUCGUUGAACAAAACUAAUUUAUCCAUUAAAAUGCUCUGUUAGUUGGACAUUUUUAACAAAGCAAACAGCAAAAUUUGCAGGGCUUGAACUUAAUGAAGGCACGGACGGCCAUUUCCAUAGCUGUGAUAGGUUAGGAGCUGUACUGACGGCAGCUUUUUGUCGCUGGAUAAAAAUGAUUGCUGUUGUUUGAAGAGAUAAUAUUGUGUUUUCAAUCUUGUAUGUUUUUGUUGCAAACGUUACUGGUUUAAAAUUGCUGUAGGCGGUCUCAAAAACGCCGUAAAGUGAGCAUUUUGCCUGUGACAAAAACAUUUCAGCAGUACCGUAGGUAAUAAGUUCAAGCCCUGACUAUGAAUGCAUGUUAUAACAUGAAAUCUGUUUACCAAGCACAUGUAGGUAGAUGGUUAAAACAAACAAACGAUUCCGGUGGAUAUGUCUGUAACGCUGUACAUGUACAUCCUAAGUUCAAGCCCUGUGUAUGAAUGCAUGUUAUAACAUGAAGUGUGUUUACCAAGAAGGUAGGUGGUUAAAACUAACAAACAAACUAGGCCGGUUGAUAUGUCUGUAACGCUGUACAUGUACAUCCUAAGUUCAAGCCUUGUGUAUGAAUGCAUGUUAUAACAUGAAGUCUGUUUACCAAGAAGGUAGGUGGUUCAAACAAACAAACUAGGCCGGUGGAUAUGUCUGUAACGCUGUACGUCCCGUCACGUGGAACAAGAUUUUCAUAUUCAUCUUUUACAUGAUAAAAACGCUUUUUUCACUUUGGAUACAAUUCUGUGCACAGACUUGUGUGUAUAUUGUGAUGAAGUAUCGAGUGAGAUACCAACAUUUACACGUGUGGAAUACGUCGUGUGAAAUAACGUCAUGUGUAAUAUGAUACGCGAAAUACAUAUACCGUAUAAUAUGACAUUAUGUGAAAUAACGUCAUGUGUAAUGUGUUAAAUGAAAUACACGGUGUGUAAUACGA